UCAGAUGGGCAACAGUGACGCUGGUCCUUACAGCAUACAGACGCGUUCAACUCACAACACAUAUAUUUCAAGCAUAUCCCAAGAAUUUUCGUAGCACAACAACAGGUUUCACCUUCGCCACACCACGAAAAUAAAUUACAUUUGACUGGUUUUGGAGUAGGUGAUGGCGAAUGUAAUCGUAGUUGUCCUGGAAGAUAGUGAGCCUGUAGAGGUAUUCUUCGUGUGUGGAAUAGGUUUUGUUGUGGUGGUGACACCAUUGGUGGAAGAGAUCAGAAGUGGAUGAGGUGGAUAUGGAGGUUAGAGGCGCGGAGAAGAAGGUGAAGAAGAUGAUGAGAGGUGAAAUCCGCCAUUGAUGACUCAUUGUUGGAUAUAGAAGCUCUGUGUGUGUGU
rnacentral:lncRNA from 1 species